rnacentral:rRNA from 1 species
AUUUUGGACAAUGGGGGAAACCCUGAUCCAGCCAUCCCGCGUGUAUGAUGAAGGCCUUCGGGGUGUAAAGUACUUUUGGCAGAGAAGAAAAGGUACCUCCUAAUACGAGGUACUGCUGACGGUAUCUGCAGAAUACGCACCGGCGCACUACGUGCCAGCAGCCGCGGUAAUACGUAGGGUGCACGCUUUAAUCGGAAUUACUGGGCGUAAAGCGCGUGUAGGCGGUUCGGAAAGCAAGAUGUGAAAUCCCAGGGCUCAACCUUGGAACUGCAUUGUUAACUGCCGAGCUAGAGUAUGUCAGAGGGGGGUAGAAUUCCACGUGUAGCAGUGAAAUGCGUAGAUAUGUGGAGGAAUACCGAUGGCGAAGGCAGCCCCCUGGGAUAAUACUGACGCUCAGACACGAAAGCGUGGGGAGCAAACA